ACGAAAGCAGCAUUCACGGAGUUUGAAGUCUAAGUAAAAGCAAUAAAAUGUAUGAUAAAGACAACGACCUUCAAUGAAGAGACCAGAACUAAAUAUUCCUUCAUAACCUGCAAUUGUCGUGGGUUUCUUCUCUAAAUACUCAAGAAGUCGAGCGAACAAAGCUGCAGUCCUACCACACCGGGUGAAGGUGUCCCAGAGCUUCUGCGUCAAUGGCUCGGCUGUCGACAGAGAGUCGACGGGACUCUCUCCCCCUGGCCAAUCACAGCUAUGCAUUGUGUCGGCGUUUCUCAGGGACGGUGCUGCUGCCCCCGCUGUCCCGGCGCCACUCCACCUACGCCCAGGACAACCGCAGGCUUCUACACCUGGAAGCUCUCUAUAGGAAGGCCCUGGCUGGCGUAGAGGCCACGAGCCUGGAAACCAUCGACGACUGCAAGUCAGUGGAGCAGCUUGCUAAUCUUUCAACUCACUCUAAUGCUCUCUCUCUCUCACUUUGUUUUUUGUCUCAUUUACUGUCAACACUCACUCUCAAGUGAGCUGCCUCUCUUUAUUUCUCACUCUGUCCCUCGAGUACUCACAAUCUCUCGUUUCUCUCCCUCUUUUUCUCCCCUCCAUGUGCUCAACAAGCCAUGAGAGGUCCACAGUGUGAUUCAUUGAGAAGGCUACUGUGUGAUAUUGAUGUCUUAUGCUGGGGUUUGAAUUUACUCCACACUUCAGGAAAAUAUUAUGUAAUCUCAGAAGGACAGAUUGUCAACUGACUUUUUGUCAAAUUGCACCUGUGACAUUUGGUUUUCGAAUCCAUCUAUUCUUGCAGCCAAGCCUGAGGGAGCAGAGACUGAAUAACUUUUGUGGAUGUGUGUGAGCGUGGCCGGUGUCUGUUUGUCCCCAGAUGUCUGUGUGUUUAUGCACUCACUCACACAGCGUCUUCCCAUCACGCCUGCCUACCCCUACUUCUCUAAGUACGUGCUCAUCGACCUUCAUGUUCUUGGCUGCGCUUAAUCUCUCUGAAUCCCGUAUCUCUCUAGGCCCAGAGGGGGUUAAGAAAAGCCUUCUCUCUGACGGCUGCUACCUAACUCGCUCUCUCCCAGCCUCGGGUCAGUGGAGGUCACUGCUUUAGUGUGUCUGUGUUCGUGUAUCCACAUUUUGUUUCGGCCGGGCGCUACAUCUAGCCUCUCCACCCACACACUGUGUCUGUGCUUGAGCUGAUGGCUCUACAGUCUGCUUCUCGGCAUCACAGAGGCCAGACAGCAGGAAAAGAUGCAGGAUUCUGUAUGGCGGGCUGUUUUUGAAAUGACGGGUAAUUACUGGAAUGGUGGGAAGAGGCAAGUGGGAAGAAAUGGGGGAGGGGGAGAGUCUUGGAUGGUUGUCUCUCUCUCCAUGUCCAUUUAUGUCUCAUGUCUUUCUCUCUU